GAGUUUGAUCUUGGCUCAGAUUGAACGCUGGCGGCAGGCCUAACACAUGCAAGUCGAGCGGAUGACGGGAGCUUGCUCCUUGAUUCAGCGGCGGACGGGUGAGUAAUGCCUGGGAAUCUGCCUGGUAGUGGGGGACAACGUUUCGAAAGGAACGCUAAUACCGCAUACGUCCUACGGGAGAAAGCAGGGGACCUUCGGGCCUUGCGCUAUCAGAUGAGCCUAGGUCGGAUUAGCUAGUUGGUGGGGUAAUGGCUCACCAAGGCGACGAUCCGUAACUGGUCUGAGAGGAUGAUCAGUCACACUGGAACUGAGACACGGUCCAGACUCCUACGGGAGGCAGCAGUGGGGAAUAUUGGACAAUGGGCGAAAGCCUGAUCCAGCCAUGCCGCGUGUGUGAAGAAGGUCUUCGGAUUGU
rnacentral:rRNA from 1 species